UGGAGCUUGCUGCUAUCAUGGCCAUUGCACUUACGAAUGGAGGGGUUGGUGAAUUUUUCUUCUACUGUUCUGUCUCUCUUUCUGUUUUAGGGUAAAAUUUGAGUUUUUGUGAAAGAUGGUAUCCAUUUGUUUCUGAUUCUUCCUUUGCAGGGCAAGCCUCCAGAUUGGCAAGAUUUCAUAGGCAUAGUCACUGUUUAUAAACUCCACUAUUAGCUUUAUCGAGGAGAACAAUGCCGGUAAUGCUACGGUUUGAAGAGCUCGCUAAAUCGAUUCUAACCACUGAAGUCGAGGAAACAAAGUGAUAAUCAUAAUAUAGAAGAAGCCAAGAAAUUGACCCAUUAACCUUAUGCUUCAGUUUCUGGGCAUCCCUUAACCGAGUCGUUACUAUACUUUGGAUCAAUUGGCUAGUGCUGUGCUGGCGCACUUCAUCUUGAAGGAGAAACUACACAAGCUAGGGAUGUUGGGCUGUGUGAUGUGCAUUGUCGGUUUUGUCAUAAUUGUCAUCCACGCACCGCAAGAAAGUCCCAUUACUUCUGUUCAAGAAAUAUGGAUUAUGGCGACUCAAACAGCUUUUCUGCUUUACGUCGACUUGGUAAUCAUGUUGGUGUUCAUCCUGGUUUCCAUUUUUCACCUAGAUGUGGGCACACGGAUGUGCUAGUUUACACCGGCAUCCGCUCAUUAAUGGGCUCUCUCUCGGU